GCGGCCACUGCUAUCAAGUUCCGACUAAGCCAUGCGAGUCAAGGUAUCGUAAGAUGCCGGCAAACUGCUCAGUAACACGUGGAUAAUCUAACCUUGAGUAAGGGAUAACUUCGGGAAACUGAAGGUAAUACCUUAUAAUUGCUUAAAACUGGAAUGUUUUUGCAAUAAAAGUUACGACGCUCAAGGAUGAGUCUGCGACCUAUCAGGUAGUAGGUGGUGUAAUGGACCACCUAGCCUCAGACGGGUACGGGCCCUGGGAGGGGUAGCCCGGAGAUGGACUCUGAGACAUAAGUCCAGGCCCUACGGGGCGCAGCAGGCGCAAACACUGUGCAAUGCGCGAAAGCGCGACACGGGGAGCUUGAGUGUCUUGGCAUAGCCAAGACUUUUCUCAUUCCUAAAAAGCAUGAGGAAUAAGUGCUGGGUAAGACGGGUGCCAGCCGCCGCGGUAACACCCGCAGCACGAGUAGUGGUCACUUUUAUUGAGCCUAAAGCGUUCGUAGCCGGUUUUGUAAAUCUUCAGAUAAAGCCUGAAGCUUAACUCCAGAAAGUCUGAAGAGACUGCAAGACUUGAGAUCGGGUGAGGUUAAACGUACUUUCAGGGUAGGGGUAAAAUCCUGUAAUCCCGGAAGGACGACCAGUGGCGAAAGCGUUUAACUAGAACGAAUCUGACGGUAAGGAACGAAGGCUAGGGUAGCAAACCGGAUUAGAUACCCGGGUAGUCCUAGCUGUAAACAUUGCCCAUUUGAUGUUGCUUUUCCGUUGAGGGAAGGCAGUGUCGGAGCGAAGGUGUUAAAUGGGCCGCUUGGGAAGUAUGGUCGCAAGACUGAAACUUAA
rnacentral:rRNA from 1 species